CAACCUGAUUCCUACCAGAUGCGAGGGUUGUAUCCAUAUGGAUUGAAGGUUCGUAGAUAAGCGAGUGCAAAUGGGCGAGUGGACAGAGGAGUCCUUUGCACACUCGUAUAUCUACGUUCAGAACAUCCAUGUAUGUAGUUCGUGGUUAUACGCAUAUUGGACAAAACUACAUAAUUCGUAUGGAGGGAACUGUGUUUUCAAUUUGCAUGAUUAAAACCAGAAGAGAGGUGCACGAUCUGCAGUAAUAUAUAUAGCCUAUGACUGUGCAUCAUGUGAGGAUUAGUAAGAAUAUACUAUUUGGUGUGUGAUGUAUGUAGUAUCUUACGUGAAAUGAAUAUUGUCCCGAGUAAAAUACUCGACGUGGGAUGGAAAUUUGGGGUGACAGCAGCGAGUAGCGAAUCUGAUAGAUUGGGAAAAACAUUUCUCCAGCUACGCUUACUCGUCGACGAGGGUAACGGCGAAAGAAGUAAUAUAUUCACGGAAAUGACACUUGGACAAUUUUACAAAUUCCUCCAUGAGCUUGAAAAGGCUAAAAGCAACUUAGAGCUGUUGCAAUAAUUACAAUAAUCAAGAUAAUAACAAUGAUGUUCAUGAUUUAUUAAACUAGACUAGUUUCUUAAUCACAUACAAAUAUUUAUGUAUACUUUAAUAAGUAUUGUUGAUGCAUAACAUCGCGUAAAUGAUGCAGUCAUUGAUACACCUUGAUUAAAGUAUUAAAAAAAAUGUUUAUUCAAGUAUUUCUACGUAGUUCUAAAAAAUAAUAAUUACAUUAAAUAAAAAAUAAUCUCACAUGA